GACGAACGCUGGCGGCGUGCUUAACACAUGCAAGUCGAACGGUGAUGCUCCAGCUUGCUGGAGUGGAUCAGUGGCGAACGGGUGAGUAACACGUGAGCAACCUGCCCCAGACUCUGGAAUAAGCGCUGGAAACGGCGUCUAAUACUGGAUACGAAACUGGCCCGCAUGGGCAUGGUUUGGAAAGUUUUUCGGUUUGGGAUGGGCUCGCGGCCUAUCAGCUUGUUGGUGAGGUAAUGGCUCACCAAGGCGACGACGGGUAGCCGGCCUGAGAGGGCGACCGGCCACACUGGGACUGAGCCACGGCCCAGACUCCUACGGGAGGCAGCAGUGGGGAAUAUUGCACAAUGGGCGAAAGCCUGAUGCAGCGACGCCGCGUGAGGGAUGACGGCCUUCGGUUUGUAAACCUCUUUCAGCAGGGAAGAAGCGAAAGUGACGGUACCUGCAGAAGAAGCACCGGCUAACUACGUG
rnacentral:rRNA from 1 species